CCAGCAGGAGGCCCCUCACCUUGUCGUUCCUCUCACAGAGGAACUUGAGUCUCUGGGCCCUCUUGUGCAUGAAGACGCCAUCCAGGUGGCCGGUCUCCACCGAGCGGAUCUCGAUGGCCUUCUCCCCCCAGCCCAUGAUCUGGUUGGAGCGGAUGUAGGCUGCAGAGAUGCAGUGAAGAGGAGAUAGCCGCGUUAGCAUGUGAUGUUUAAUGACUCAUCACAAACAUGAACUUUGAUGAAUAGAUCCUCCCACACAAAACUACGCAUGAAUUGUCCCCCGACUCACCCACUGAGGUGGGCAUCUCCCCCCACUGCAGCACCACGUCCUUGGUGAUGCGUCCGUACGUGUUGACGUAGACGCCCUCGUCCUCGUAGCACACCAGCAGCUCGAUGCCGUCGGUGUUGGGCAGGAUGAUGAUGGCGUGGGACUGGAUGUGGGUCUGGAUCUGCAGGGGGGGGGGAGACAAAGGCCUUUUGACGACAGAGAAGACAUAAUGCAGGUAAUCCUGCUCUGGGGCCUCCUCUGUCUCCAUGUCGGCAUCAGCUGUGGAACAUGGAGGGGCUGGACGUGUCCCUCCACCCUGAGCUGAUGACUAAACAACCCCCUCAAUACUCAAAGAGAGGCCUAGUGGGGGCGUCCUCACGUGUGUCGGCAGGUAGAUGUCGUAGACGGCCCCGGAGUCCACGUCCACGGCGUGGAAGCCCGAGGCCGAGCCGUAGAUGACCUUUAACCUCUGGCCCUCCUCCACGGUCAGGUCGACCAGCAGCGGCUUGUGCACCAGGUCGCCGAAAGACUGAGCAGGAGAAACAAUGUGAUGAGCUAACGAAGCUAACGAAGCUAACGAAGCUAACGAAGCUAACGAAGCCGAGCCAGUGGGUCGACUCACCUUGAAGGCCAUGAACUUGUGGUAGGGCUUCGGGGCCCAGGCGUAGACCUCCACAGAGUGCUUCAGAGCCAGAACCAAGAACUUGAUCCGCUCAUAUUUCACUGAGGAACAAAAAACAUAAAGCUUUUGCGCCGCAGCAUCUUCACUGCAUUAAUUCAGCCGCUGUAAACGUAAGACUCUUGUUCCUCGCGUUGGGACGAGUUACAGCAGAAGACUUUCAUCUCUUUGUUGAGUGUUUCUCAAAAUCGUCUGGAAAGCCCUGAACUGUACUUUCCACGAGUGCUCAAACAAAGACUCCGCUGGACCAAUCGGCUCGCUCGAGACCGGCCGACAGGAAGUCGGUGAUAGCAGAUGGAGCGUGGAGGGGUUUCCAACAGGAAGUGCCCGUCUUCAACCGCCAUGACGGGGACAUCCUGGAUUUUGGACAGGUCGUCUCUGACGUUACUUCACUGAGGGCUUCCCAGCACGUCGCGUCUCCACGGCAACGCAGCGGCUCUGGAGCUCCGGAGCUGCGCUGGUGGAGUUAUUGAGCUCUGAGAGAUGGCGUUGUGAAUAUAAUAUGAUCGGAUGAAGUAACGGCGCAUGUUGAGACCCCACGGAGGACCGAAUGUCCUGCAGAGACUGGGGCCCAUGGCGUGCGGGGUGCGCGGGGGCGUGGCCUACCGACGUUGUAGUGGACGCAGCCCUCCAGGUCUCCCACCGUGGUCCAGCCCUGCUUCUUCUCCACCUCGGGGUCGUUGUGCAGGAUCUUGUUCCUCAGCCAGGACAGGUAGUACACCCGGAGCUUGUUCUUCUUACCUGCAACACAGACGUCCAACAAUCAUGUCGGAUGCAUUCAACUCCUCCACCAGAAGACCAGAGUCUUCUCUCCUCAGACUGAGGAGCUGUCAUUCUGACCUUCAGGCUCCUUGAGGCUUAAAAUGUGUUUUUGAUUGGAUGCUGAGAAUAUAUUUUUGUAUCCUGGUUUCAUUCUGAGAGAAACUAUUUCGCAUAAAUUAACGGAUCGUAACACGCGACUUAAAGUCGAAGCAUGACGCUCGAUUAAAAGUCAUAGUAUUGUAUAAUUGCCUCACAUUAUUUCUGCUUCUCAAACAGAACUUUCCAUGACGCGUAUUCUACUUCUCCUCACAGAAGCCCGUCAGCAUGAAGACAACGUGUGUGUGUGUGUGUGUACAUGUCACACACGUGGCUUUACACACUGUGCGUCACUCACAGACAUCUGACUGCAUGUGUGUGUGUGUGUGUGUGUGUGUGUGUGUGUGACAUUGAGAAGGAGAAGUAGGAACGUGUAUGUGUGUAUCACAAUGCUUGGGCAAGAGCUGUGUGUGUGUGUGUGUGUGUGUGUGUGUGUGUACCUGAUAUGGUGACCAGGACGUUGAGUCCCUCCAGGACGUCCAUCUGCUGGAAGCGCCGACGGCUGAUCAGAGGAUAAACUUUCCCCUGACCGCUGCGAUCCAACAGCAUCAGACCGCUCUCUGUCCCCACCAGGAGGUUCACGCCUGCUCUCACACACACACACAGACACACACACACACACACAC
ensembl:lncRNA